rnacentral:rRNA from 1 species
AAUAGGAGGAAAAGAAACCAACAGGGAUUGCCUCAGUAACGGCGAGUGAAGCGGCAAAAGCUCAAAUUUGAAAUCUAGCACCUUCGGUGUUUGAGUUGUAAUUUGAAGAUGGUAACCUUGGGUUUGGCUCUUGUCUAUGUUCCUUGGAACAGGACGUCAUAGAGGGUGAGAAUCCCGUCUGAUGAGAUGCCCAUUCCUAUGUAAGGUGCUAUCGAAGAGUCGAGUUGUUUGGGAAUGCAGCUCUAAGUGGGUGGUAAAUUCCAUCUAAAGCUAAAUAUUGGCGAGAGACCGAUAGCGAACAAGUACAGUGAUGGAAAGAUGAAAAGAACUUUGAAAAGAGAGUGAAAAAGUACGUGAAAUUGUUGAAAGGGAAGGGCAUUAGAUCAGACUUGGUGUUUUACGAUUAUCUUCUCUUCUUGAGUUGUGCACUCGUAUUUCACUGGGCCAGCAUCGAUUCGGAUGGCAAGAUAAUGGCAGUUGAAUGUGGCUUCACUUCGGUGGAGUGUUAUAGCUUCUGCUGAUAUUGCCUGUCUGGAUCGAGGGCUGCGUCUUUUGACUAGGAUGCUGGCGUAAUGAUCUAAUGCCGCCCGUCUAGAAAAACCGGG